rnacentral:lncRNA from 1 species
UCUGGGCGCAGCAACUGCUCCUCUGUCUCAUCAGGCAGUGUCCCCUGUGUUCCUGACCUCCUGAGGAGCUGCUGGAUGGCUUAGCCCCUUGACAGCUGGAGGGCUGACCAUGAGCUAGGCACCACCAAUCAAAUGCACAUAAUCAAGACUUUAAAUUGGAAACUAGUGAUACAUCAAAGCAGAAGUCACUCGCAAUGGGAACAACUCCAUCCAGCUUGCUGAUGCAUCAGUGGCAGCAGAUUCAAGGGUGGUUUCCAGCAUCUACUGUCAGUGUGGCAUGAGGACAAGCUUCAGUAUCUGCACCCAGCAGGAGCAGCACUGGAUUUUCACCAGGCCAGUUCUCCAGCACAAUUUGCAUAUUGUUCCUGGCUUCGUAGCCCCUGAGCCUGGCCCCUGGACCUUUCUGGAAAUUCUGUGAGCCAGGGCCAGCUUCAUAGCUAUGCAACCUGUGCCAUCACACAGGACCCCAGGUUCAGCACGGCCCUGUGCUUGGUUUAAUGCUCUGCUGUUGCCAUCUUGCAAUUCUUACAGUUCUUUUAACAAGAGGCCUCACCUUUCCAUUUUGCUUGGAUCUUGAAAAUUAUGUAACCAAUCCUGCUACGAGCUAGCUAAUAUGCUUUAGGUCAGGGAGUUCUUAACCUCUUAUGCUCAUGAGCCCUUGGUAGUCUGGUGAAACCUAUAAAGCUUAGGAGGAAUGUUUUUAAAUGAAAUGCACAAAAUGAAAUACAUAGGAAACCAAUUAUAUUAAAAUAUAGUUUAAAAUUUAAAAAAACAAAU